AGCGAACGCUUUCUUCCUUCCUAACACAUGCAAGUCGAACGAACCUUUCGUGGUUAGUGGCGGACGGGUGAGUAACACGUGGGAACGUGCCUUUAGGUUCGGAAUAACUCAUGGAAACUUGUGCUAAUACCGAAUGUGCCCUUCGGGGGAAAGAUUUAUCGCCUUUAGAGCGGCCCGCGUCGGUUGAGCUAGGUGGUUGAGGUAAUGGCUCACCAAGGCGACGAUGAGUAGCUGGUCUGAGAGGAUGAGCAGCCACAUUGGGACUGAGACACGGCCCAAACUCCUACGGGAGGCAGCAGUGGGGAAUCUUGCGCAAUGGGCGAAAGCCUGACGCAGCCAGGCCGGGUGAAUGAUGAAGGUCUUAGGAUUGUAAAAUUCUUUCACCGGGGACGAUAAUGACGGUACCCGGAGAAGAAGCAACGGCUAACUUCGUG
rnacentral:rRNA from 1 species